rnacentral:rRNA from 1 species
AUGUGGAGAUGGGGCACGGGGAGGGGAGGGCGAGUCGGCCUGGAGGCCCCGGUUGUGGCUUCGACUAGGCAGGCCUGGGACUCGCGGUGGCGGGCGGCCUCGCGCUGGAGCUGGUCCUGGCGGGCGGCCUCGGCCUCGUCCACACGGACUUCUCCUGGUUGUCGAACCGGUCGAGGGUCAUCCAACUUCUUGUUUAUCAGGCUACCGUUUGAUAAAAUGUUUCCUGACGUCCGGACCGGUCAUACUUUUGCAAGGUUAGAUGUGUUGUUAUUGAUGCACUUCAUUGCUUCUUGCUACAUGCUCUGUUUGCUUUGUUUCGUGGCCUACCACUUGUUCUUGUCUGGUGAGAUUAUGAUACAUGCGAGCAUUGCUGUGUCCAACCUGCACAAGAAUGCCAAGAAGUCCUUCUCGGAGACGAUUAAGGACAUGUACCUGCACUACAACGAGAGAUCUGGGCUCCUUCUUUGUGGCUUCCAAAUUUGA